UUGAAGAAUUUGAAGACUUCAACUUGAAGUCUUUAUAAAUUUGUAGACUUUAACUUGCAAACUUGAAGAAUUAUAAGACUUCAACU
rnacentral:pre_miRNA from 1 species